AGAGAGAGUUCUGUGCUAUGAGUGAUUAUUAAUAACGUGGUUUUGUAGUUAACAAUGUUUUACCGCUUAUCUUUAUUAUGAUUUUAUUUUAUAAUUAGAAAUAAAUAUAUAUAGUUAGGGCUUCAUAUGACGUCAGACGGCGUUGCUCAAGUUUGACGUCAAGUUCAAAAUACUUGAGUCGACGCAUGGCGUCUUUUGUCGAGUAGGACACAUGAAACGAUGAAGAAAGACAUACACAGUUUUACUAUGGAAGUCAGAUUUCUAACCUGUUCAACGGACUGUCAGUAAUAUUGGCCAAUCUAAAGAAUACGCGCGUACCUUCAUUUAUGUCGGCAAAGAUAAAUGAUUUAAAAUAAGAGACGACGCUGCAAAUCCUUCAACAGCAAGUUACAUAAACGCCUUAUAAUGAUGUAUCGUGCUUUUUGGGAUACAAUAUUCCUUCUCACCGUGUGUGAUGCUGUUGUUCCGCUGUUUUCUCAUUGCUGUAACGGUCAUGAGUCUGGCAAUUUUUGGCUUUGUUGGAUCCUCAUUUUCACAUUUGGGCUCCCUUUUUACCUAUGGGCAGGUGCAAGAUAAUUCUACCUCAACAACAACCAUUGCAACCACCACAACAACAACUACCACCACUACCACAACAACAACCACCAGCACGACGACAACCACUACUACUACACGUGUAAAAAGUAUGCUCUGUCUGACUUUUCCUUUAUGCUCAGCUCAUUUUGGCUUUCUUAGACUGAAAUCCAAUGAAAUCUUUUCUCAAUAAGAAUUCGUAGAUA
ensembl:lncRNA